UACGGAGGAUCCGAGCGUUAUCCGUAUUUAUUGGGUUUAAAGGGUGCGUAGGUGGAUUGGUAAGUCAGUGGUGAAAGUUUGCAGCUUAACUGUAACAGUGCCGUUGAUACUGGGGAGCUAGGAUUUGGUUGCUGUGGGUGGAAUGUGUGGUGUAGCGGUGAAAUGCUUAGAGAUCACACAGAAUAUCGAUUGCGAAGGCAGCUCACAAAGCCAAGAUUGACGCUGAGGCACGAAAGUGUGGGGAUCAAACAGGAUUA
rnacentral:rRNA from 1 species